rnacentral:rRNA from 1 species
GCCUAAAGCGUCCGUAGCCGGCUCUGUUAGUUUUCGGUUAAAUCCAUAUGCUCAACAUAUGGGCCGCCGGGAAUACUACAAAGCUAGGGAGUGGGAGAGGUAGACGGUACUCCGUAGGAAGGGGUAAAAUCCUUUGAUCUAUGGAUGACCACCAGUGGCGAAGGCGGUCUACCAGAACACGUUCGACGGUGAGGGAUGAAAGCUGGGGGAGCAAACCGGAUUAGAUACCCGGGUAGUCCCAGCUGUAAACUAUGCAAACUCAGUGAUGCAUUGGCUUGUGGCCAGUGCAGUGCCGCAGAGAAGUCGUUAAGUUUGCCGCCUGGGAAGUACGUACGCAAGUAUGAAACUUAAAGGAAUUGGCGGGGGAGCACCACAAGGGGUGAAGCCUGCGGUUCAAUUGGAGUCAACGCCAGAAAUCUUACCCGGAGAGACAGCAGAAUGAAGGUCAAGUUGAAGCCUUUACCAGACAAGCUGAGAAGUGGUGCAUGGCCGUCGCCAGCUCGUGCCGUGAGGUGUCCUGUUAAGUCAGGUAACGAGCGAGAUCCUUGCCUCUAGUUGCUACCAUUACUCUCAGGAGUAGUGGGGCGAAUUAGCGGGACUGCCGUAGUUAAUACGGAGGAAGGAGAGGGCCACGGCAGGUCAGUAUGCCCCGAA